GAAAAUCCGUUGGCUUUAUUGACCGUGAGGGUUCAAGUCCCUCUAUCCCC
rnacentral:tRNA from 1 species